rnacentral:rRNA from 1 species
GUGGGGAAUUUUGGACAAUGGGCGCAAGCCUGAUCCAGCAAUGCCGCGUGCAGGAUGAAGGCCUUCGGGUUGUAAACUGCUUUUGUACGGAACGAAACGGUCCUUUCUAAUAUAAGGGGCUAAUGACGGUACCGUAAGAAUAAGCACCGGCUAACUACGUGCCAGCAGCCGCGGUAAUACGUAGGGUGCGAGCGUUAAUCGGAAUUACUGGGCGUAAAGCGUGCGCAGGCGGUUAUGUAAGACAGAUGUGAAAUCCCCGGGCUCAACCUGGGACCUGCAUUUGUGACUGCAUAGCUAGAGUACGGUAGAGGGGGAUGGAAUUCCGCGUGUAGCAGUGAAAUGCGUAGAUAUGCGGAGGAACACCGAUGGCGAAGGCAAUCCCCUGGACCUGUACUGACGCUCAUGCACGAAAGCGUGGGGAGCAAACAGGAUUAGAUACCCCGGUAGUCC